GACGAACGCUGGCGGCGUGCUUAACACAUGCAAGUCGAGCGGUAAGGCCCUUUCGGGGGUACGACGAGCGGCGAACGGGUGAGUAACACGUGGGUGACCUGCCCUCAGCUCUGGGAUAAGCCUGGGAAACCGGGGUACUAAUACCGGAUAUGACUCCAUGACGCAUGUUGUGGGGUGGAAAGCCUUGUGCGGCUGAGGAUGGGCCCGCGGCCUAUCAGCUUGUUGGUGGGGUGAUGGCCUACCAAGGCGACGACGGGUAGCCGGCCUGAGAGGGCGACCGGCCACACUGGGGACUGAGACACGGCCCAGACUCCUACGGGAGGCAGCAGUGGGGAAUCUUGCGCAAUGGGCGAAAGCCUGACGCAGCGACGCCGCGUGAGGGAUGACGGCCUGGUGUAAG
rnacentral:rRNA from 1 species